rnacentral:tRNA from 1 species
GCUUCCUUUGGCUCAGUUGGUAGAGCGUCAGUCUCAUAAUCUGAAGGUCGCCAGUUCGAUCCUGGCAGGGAGCA